GUAGCUGUGGAAAGCCUGCGCCCCAAGGAGGGACGCGGGGGUGCAGUCGCGGCCCAUUAUCUGUGCCCGGGAAGUCCUGAAGGCUCUAGGAGCUGUCAGAUUAAACCCCCAGACCCACAAGAAAAUCCCUGAAGCUUCGGUGAGCGUGGGAUUUGGCGUGCAGUUGGUUCCGUAUGGUUCCCCAUUAAGACUUGGAAGUCGGCUUACCAAGAUUUCCUCUUACCCUUCGGCUGUGUUGAGUAGAUAUUACACAGACACCCCGCCCAUGACUCUGCUCUUGCAGGAAAACAUUUAUUUCAAAAAUACUGCAACGGUUUCAUCUCUCAUGUCCUUUUAGGUUCUUUCUAGUAAUUGUGAACUUUUCCUCUCAAGUCAUUCCAUCAAAGUCUUGGAAGCAAAUGAAAAAAACAUACUACCCUGAAAUAGAGUUCACAUCUUUCUUUACCAACUUGCCUUUCCCAGGAAGACAUCGUGGUGGGUUUGCAGUUCAGGUUUCCUCACAGCCUCUCCUGGGGGUCUUUUUCCCUCUCUGGUACCUUGAGGCAUAGGACAGAAGGGAGCUGCUGAAGUUUCUGGAUGUCGCUUAUUUUUCACAUUUGUUUUAACUUCUUUUGGCCAGAACUGUGUAUUGUUUUCGCAUAGAUUUCUGCAAUUAGAAUUAUUGUAAUUAGAAAGAAUAAUAAUCUUCAUAUAAGGCUUAGGGUACGCACUACUUUAAGGUCUUUGUAAAUGUGUGCAUAUUCAUUUCUCUCAUCAACUCUGAGGUAGGGGCUAUUCUUACCCCAUUAUUGACCUUUUACAAAUGAGGAAACUGAUGCUUGGAGAAGUUAGAUAACUCGCCCAAGGCCAUUCCUUCUCUAAGAGGAGGAACUGGAAUUUGACCCCAAACUGUCAGUUGACUUUUGCUGAUGGAGCCUCUCUGAAGGGCAAAUUCAAAGUACAGCUGGGUGCUGCAGCACUGGAGUGCGAACUUGUGGCUGUGGUUAUGAAGGAGCCUCGUCAGCUAUGCCUUUAGCCCCUGGUGAAGCAGUGCCAGUCACACUUUGCCAGUCAAACGGAGAGGCAGCAGUAGUAAGACCAGACCAAAUCAAACCAAACCAAGCAAACCACGGGGAAUGGAGAUUAUUGCCUGCUCCUCCAAGCCCUUCACUGUAGAAUGGAAGCCUGUGAUUUUCCUGGCAUCAUGCAUGACUGAGAAGGUCAGUGUGGCUAAUUCUGAGCUUCAACAUCAGGAAACCCGUAGUUCUUCACACUGAGCCGCCUCCUGCAGCACAGUCAUCCUUGGCUUAACACCACAUGGAAGCCACCAAGACUUAUGACUUGCAUCCUCCUGAAGAGUGGCUCAAACUGUACCUGAGGCCCUUUGAGCUGCAGCUGGAGCCAGGAGCUGGGACGCAGAGAGGAGUGUCCUGAGGCUGCAAGGGCAGCAGAGCCCUGGGUGUGGCCCCCAAAACCAUUCUUUCCCCUAGGCCUCUGGACCUGCAAUGGGAGGAAAUGCCUAAAAGAUCUCUGAAAUGCCUUUGAGGCCUUUUCCCAUUGUCUUGGAUAUUAACACUUGGCUCCCUUUUAGUCAUGCUAAUCUCUCUAGCAAGUGGUUGCUCUGCAGCCUUUCUGGAUUCUUUCUCCAACAAAAUGCCAGACUGCGUGCAAAUUUUCUAAACUUUUACUCCCUGCUUCCCUUUUAAAUAUAAGUUCCAACUUUAAGUCUUGUUUUUGCUCCUGCAUCUAAGCAUAGGUAGUUAGAAGCAGCCAUGCCACAUCUUGAUUGCUUUGCUUCUUAUAAAUUUCUUCUGCCAGAUACCCUAAGUCAUCACUCUUAAGUUCAAAACUUCCACAUAUCCUUAGGAUGAGAAAAUGAUGCAGCCAAGUUCUUUGUUGAGGCAUAACACAGGUAACCUUUACUCCAGUUUACACUAUAUUCCUCAUUUCCAUCUGAGAUCUCGUCAGCCUGGAUUUCACUGUUCAUAUUUCUAUCAGCAUUUUGGUCACAACCAUUUAGAAAGUCUCUAAGAAGUUCCAAACUUUGCCCCAUCUUCCUGUCCUUCUGAGCUCCCCAAACUUUUCCAACUUCAGCCUGUUACCAAGUUCCAAAGUUGCUUCCACAUUUUUAAGUAUCCUUAUAGCAAUGUCCCACUCCUCAGUACCAGUUUUGUGUGUUAGUCCAUUCUUGUAUUGCUAUAAAAGAAUAUCUGAGACUGGGUAAUUUAUAAUGAAAAGUGAUUUAUUUUGGCUCAUGGUUCCACAGACUGUACAUGAAGUGUGGUGCCAAUAUCUCCUUCUGGUGAAGACUCAGGAAGCUUACAAUGAUGGUGUAAGGUUGAAGUGGGAGAAGGCAUAUCACAUGGCAAGAGUGGGAGCAAGAGAGAGAGAGGAGGCGGGUGCCAGGCUCUUUUAAACAACCAGGUCUCAUGUGAACUAAUUGAAUGAGAACUAACUCAUUACCAUGAGGACAGGCCAAAGACAUUCAUGAGGGACUUGCUCCCAUGAUCCAAACACCUCCCACUUGGCCCAUCACCAACAUUGGAGGUAACAUUUCAACUUGAGAGUUGGAAGGGACACACAUCCUUCCAUAUCAGGUCCUAAUUUUUCACCCCUCUCAUGUGACUUUACAGUUCCUCCCAUUUAAAAGGGAAGAGUAUUAUUUCUCCAACCCUUGACUGGAUUCAGUCUUAUAACUAUUUUUGGCCAAUAGAGUGAGGCAGAAAUGACAGUGUACCAGUUCUGAAACUGUGCCGGCAGAGCCUUUGAAUGUUUUUUUUGUCUCUCACACCUCUGCCAUCAUCAUGAGAAGAAUAUGGCUUUGCUAGCUCCAAAUCUGGGCUCGACAUUCUUCUGCUCCAAAGAAGAUGAGAGAGCCAUGUGGAGCAGAGCCUCUCCAGAUGAGGCCAGCCUAGGUCAAUGAAACUCCAGCCAACACACUGACACUCAACAAAUGCUUUCUGGUGCAUGCUGCUGAGAUUUUAUAAUUGCCUGUUAUACAACAUUGUAGCAUUAGUUGGCUGAUGCAAAUAUAUUAUUAGCUAAUUAUAUUGAUUGAAUUUCUGGUAUUAAACUAUUUUACAUUUCUGAAACAGAAUUGUUUAUUAUUAUUUCAACACAGGACUGAAUUCAGUCUGCUUAAUUGUUCAUUUAGAACUUUCUGUUUGCAUUCAAUGGUCAUCUUAGUCUAUUUUAUCUUUCUCAGGUUGGAGCAUUAAAGUUAUGUUAUCAUCAUAAAACGUACUGGGAUAUUCCCCUAACUUCAACCUCAACAUACAGCAGUAUACAAAUGCUGAUUCCUAGAAAAGUUCUCAUGAUUCCCUGGUAUAAUGAAAAAAAAAAAUAAGGAAGAUGCAAUGGGUUUUAUAACGUCAUUUGAUUUAAAGAAUAGUCCUUAAUUCUGAUCUUAUGCACUUCCCAUAUUCUCAAUGUUAGAUUAUUUAUUCUUUUGCAAAAUGAUUCUGCUGAUAAAUGGUAAUAAAAAAGAAUGUUUCUACUACAAAAAUUAAAACCUGGCAAUCCCAUGUUGGUCUCUCCAACUUUUCCCCUUAGCUCUCAUAGUUUUUGAAAUCCAAAGUUUGAAACCGUUUGUCUAGAACAAUUUAAAGAGCAUGUAAUUAAAUAUAAAAUAAUUUGUGCCUUGAGAAUUGGAGCUAUUCUGAAGCAGUAUGAAAGAGUGGUAGAGAAUAGGAACUUUGAACCGUGUGGCCUCUAGCAGUCACUUAACCAUUCCAAGAAUCAUUUUACUCCCUUGUAGAACAGGGCUAAUAAGUAGGUACCUUUUAGGUCUAUUAUAAGGUCAUAUGUUAUAAGAUACUUAGCAUAAUAUUGUACAUAUAGUAAGUACCUGAUAUGGCUUGGCUCUGUCUCCACCCAAAUCUCAACUUGAAUUGUAUCUCCCAGAAUUUCCAUGUGUUGUGGGAGGGACCUGGGGGAGGUAAUUGAAUCACGGGGACCGGUCUUUCCCGUGUUAUUCUCGAGACAGUGAAUAAGUCUCACGAGAUCUGAUGGGUUUAUCAGGGGUUUCCACUUUUGCUUCUUCCUCAUUUUCUCUUGCUGCUGCCAUGUAAGAAGUGCCUUUCACCUCCCAAUAUGAUUCUGAGGCCUCCCAGGCCAUGUGGAACUGCAGGUCCAAUUAAACCUCUUUUUCUUCCCAGUCUCGGGUGUGUCUUUAUCAGCAGCAUGAAAACAGACUAAUACAGUACUCAAUAAAUAUUAGCUAUUUUCAUUACUAGUAUUUUGAUAUUUUUCUCUGAAUAUAUUUUGUUCUUAAAAUGUUUUCUGUUCUUGAUUUAAUUUUUAAAACUUUUUGAAUUGAAGUAUAACAUAUAUAUUUAAAAAUGCAGAAAUCAAAGUGUAUUACUUAAUAUUUAAAACAAAUCAAACAUAUCCAUGUAACGACCUAGGUCAAGAAAUAGAAUAUUACCAGCAUCUCAAGAAUCUCCCAUACAGACACAUACAAGCACCCUACCAAUGAAAAGUAUCCAUUAUAUAUAAUUCUCCUCAAAGGUAUCCUUAUUUCUAACACCAUAGAUUAUUUUUCUGUUUUUGAAAUUUUUAUAAAUAGAAGUAUACAAUAUAUAAUAUGUAAUUUUUUUUGGUCUGGAAUCCAUUGCCUGAAAUCGUAUUUUUAAGAGUCAAGUGUGUUGGUGUGACAUGUUUGGCUCUGUGUACCCACCCAAAUCUCAUCUCAAACUGUAAUCCCCAUGUGUCGAGGGAGGGACCUUUAAUCUCCACAUGUCGAGGCAGGGAGGUGAUUGGAUCAAUGGGGGUGGUUUUCCCCAUUCUGUUCUCGUGAUAGUGAAUAAGUUCUCAUGAGAUCUGACGGUUUUAUAAGUGUUUGGAAGUUUCUCCCUCACUCUUUUUUCUCUCCUGAUGCCUUGUGAAGAAGGUGCCUGCUUCCUCUUCACCUCCCACCAUGAUUGUAAGUUUCCUGAGUCCUCCCCAGCCAUGUGGAGCUGUGAGUCAAUUAAACCUCUUUCCUUUAUAAUUUUCCCAGUCUUGGGUGUUUCUUUAAAGCACAGUGAAAAUGAACUAAUACAGUGCAUGCAGCUACAGAUUUUUCAUAUUAAUGUAUAGUAUCCAAUUGUGUGAUUAGAACACAAUUUAUUUAUUCAUGCUAAUAUUGAUGGAUUGUUUCCAAUUUCAUGAUAUAUCAUCAAAAUAUAAUCACAUUAUUGGUCUUUUUAAGAACCAACUUUUGGAUUUGUUAAUAUACUACUGGCUUUAUGCUAGCUAAUUAAGAUCUGCUUUUAUCUUUAUUAACUCAUUUGUCCUUCUUCCUGGCAGUUUUCUUUCCUAAGUUUAAGUUGAACACUUAGUUUAUUUAGCUUAAUUUGGUGAAGAUGCGUUUGCUUGUCCCAGAUUUUUCAUGAGAUGAGAUUUUUCAUGAGAUGAAGUCUCUUUUUCAUGAGAUGAAGUCUAAAUGCGUUAGGAGGCAAAACUUGGGUGUAUUUUUCUGAACACAAUUAAAUCGCUUUUAAAUGUUAGUUUAUGAUGUUGUGAGUUUUUGUUUUUUUCUUUGCACUUAUUUUAGUGGGAAGUUGCACUAGGCUCCAUAAUUGCUGUCAACCAAAUCCUGUAUGAAGCUGGAAGUCUGUACUAUGGAAAAUCUGCUAAUUGUAUCCAUGCUCCCAUCCAUCCAUCCAUCCAUCUACCCAUAUAUCCAUAAUUUUAUGUGAAAUACACCACGAGGUGCUAGAAACAUUUAGGUGAACAGAUAGAAAGGUUUUCUUAAGGAAGGACAAGAGGGAGCUGCAAUUAAACAGGGACUGACAGGAUCAAUUUGCAUUUUAGAAAGGCAAUUCUGAUGGCAAUAUGGAGAACAAACUGUAAUUCAGCAAAUUGGAAUGUAGGAGCAGCUCUUCAGAAGAAUGGAUGACCUUCAGGUGCUCACUGUUCAUGAGGAGCUGGUGAGGUGUGGCAGUGGUGCCAGGAGGGAACAUUUUUUAUUAUAUAAAGUCUUCAUGAUGCAACAGAUCUAUUUUUUUUGGCACACGAAUAAGAAACUAUGCCCUUAAAGAAGAUAAAGUCUCCAAUUGUUUCUUUUUAAAAGUUUCUUAUCCUAAUGUCUAAUAGGAAUCAUUAGAAAUUAAUAUUUUUCUAACUAGAGGCAAGUGAUAAUGUCUCAAAAUUUCCACAGCUGUUUCAAACGAAAUCUUAGCAUUAAUCUAUUUCUUUUUCUGUGACAUUUUAAAUACUAAUGUAGCAUUCAUAACACCUUUCCAGAAUCCAAAUUAUAUUUUAUAGGAAGUAAAAAUGUCUUUGAGCCAGGCUAUUCAUCCAAAGCAUUAAGAGUUUCAGCUAGAUAAUUAGAGACUGGUUAAAAAAAAAUGUGAAUAUGAAGUAGCAGAGCUAAUUCUAAUGAACCACCUAGGACGAUUAAUCUUAUAAGUUUAAUGUUCUGUCACUUAAUAUUUAAAAAAAAUUUUGGAAAUAAAAGACACCAUCACAUGAUGACUAAUCGAAGCUGGAGCAUUUGAAAGUGAUUUGAGAGGGAAAGUGAGAGGUACCUCCUGGUGAAUAUACUAGCUUAAGGAGCAAUGUGGUAUUUGGGUUUCUGAACCUGCAGGUUCUACAGCCUUGUGCUUAUACCGUGACUCGUGAAGGAAAGGAGGCUGACACAGGUAAAGAAAAUACCAGAAGUGUCAUAAAAGAGGAUUUGGUAAUUCAGCAAAGCUCUGAGUCAGUAACUACCACAGGUCUGGCAUGGCAAUUGCAGGCCAUGGAUUAUUAAAACGGCCUUGUUUGAAAUGAAAUUUAAAAAUGGAGGUCUUAGCCCUGGAUCUCCUUUUUGUAAAUAGCAUUUUUAGAGAACUGACCACAAUGCUUGAAAAAGGUUACAAUUCAUCAACCUAAGCCACCCAUUUAUGGUUUGGUGUUGAUGCUUUUCUCUACUCACUCUCUAAGGUUAGUUAAGAUGUUGUUAGAUUGUUUUCUCACCUUGAUUUAGAAGAGAAUGAUGGUCCCUGGCUGGACAGGCACAAGGAUAUCUCUCUAGGGUGGUGAGGGGUGAGGAAUGAGGGCAGAUUGGGGAUGAGGGAAGUGGAGGGAGAGAUGGGAGGAGGAAAAUAGCAUGUGGAAUUAAACACAUCCAAAGUUUUUGGUGUUCCUUAGAUGACAUUUAUCAAAACAAAUAAAUCGUUAAAUGGUAUUUAGUUGAGCAAGUACAGUAACUGAAAAAAGUAAAUGAAGUAUGAGUCUACUAUAUAAUCAGAGUUUUAAAUUCUUAUUUUACUUUUUCUUCAAUAUGUAGUCUUAAGAAUUAUAUGAGAGAUGAAUUCUUUAUAAAGAAUGAAUAAAUUCCGGAAUCAAGAUAAAAGCAUUGUAAAGUUAUAGUUGAAAGCAAAGGGUGAAUAUUGGAAUUUUCAAAAAAAUUUCUAAUGCUCCAGCAAGGGGUUUUUAAUUUAUUUUUUAAACCACUGAAUACCAAUAGCUUCCAGGAGAGGGGGAUAGAGAGUCAAUUGAUUUGACUGAGGCUCUAUUAGAAAAUCCAGUUUUAAAAGUUAAACCAGCCUGGCGCCGUGGCGCAUGCCUGUAAUCCCAGCACUUUGGGAGGCCGAGGUGGGCGGAUCGCUUGAGCCCAGGGGUUUGAGACCAGCCUGGGCAACAUGGCACUACUCCAUCUCUACAAAAAUACAAAAAAGUGGCCAGGCGUAGUGGCGCACGCCUGUGGUCUCAGAAACUCCGGAGGCUGAGGUGGGAGGAUCACAUAAACUCGGAAAGUCAGGGCUGCAGUGAGCUGAGAUGCCGUCACUGCACUCCAGUCCAGGCACAGAGUGAGACCCUCUCUCAAAAGAAAAAAAAAAAAAAGAAAGAAAGAAAUUCUAGUCUCUCAGGGCAAUAUUUCAGAACAGCCCUCCUUGUAUAUUUGCCAUACCUAGUUCUUUCUUAAUUUCUUGACUUAAUGGCUUUGGUAGGCAUGUUUGUAUAAUUAAUACUCUAACCCACUGAAAUACAUCAUGAUCGACUAUCAUUCCAGAACACUAAACAAUAUUAAAUGUAAGGAUGGUGCAUGUAGCUUCACAUGCACAGCUCAGUGAACACUGCUUCAAUCAUUCCUCCAAGCUUUUCAUUAUUUCAACCCGGAGUCUACAUUCAUCUAAGUCACUACAUGCCUCUAUUCAAAAUCCAUAUUUAGUUCACAAAGUAAAUAUCUGUAUAAGUAUGAGCAAUUUCAAAACCACACAAAUGCCACUGUUUUAUUCAUUACAAGUCUUCAUGAAAUAUUGCCCUCAGCAGAAAUGAAUGAAUGUCUUUACCUGAAAAGGAAUCAGGAAAAGGAAUAGUUUCAGCAUUGCCAAAAAUGAGAUAGAAACUUGUCUUAUGACAGAUAAUCCUUAGAUUAUGAGAUAAACUGCCUUCUUCAUAAUACUCCUGACACUUGUGACACCUUUGACUUUUUAAUGUAGUUCUAAUACAAAAUGAUAUCUUAGAAGGGUGUUUCUGAAAUUUAAUUGUUGGUAAGAGUCAACUAGUGGAAAUAACCAGUGCAAGCUCUUCGGCCACAUCCUAACUAACUGAAGAUGGGAUCAUAAUAGCUGUAGUAUGAACUCUGCCCACUCCUAAACUCUAGUCACGCCUGGGCGUGCCUGCCAAGCUUUGUAAUGGCUUGCAGAAGCCUGUUUCUAGGAGGCUGAGGAGGUUCCUGGGAGAGAGGCAAAGAAGAUAGAUCCAGUCACAAAUGGUAGAUUGGUCUGAAUAAGGACUAACUUUUUGAUUUAAGAUGAGAAACUAGAAGAAGGUACAAUGAGUGGGCUUUUACACAGAAAGCAUUGAGUGAGAGGGUACAAGCGAAAACCAAGCAAAUUAGAUGAUGUCGCCUCUAGCGACUCAGCAAGAGCAACAGUAGCUGCCCAGUCCUGAUACUUCCAUCUGUCCUGGAAAAUAGCCAUUGGGUCCCCUCUGUUCAGGAGCCAGGCAUUUGUAGGCUGGGCCACCCUGGCCCGAGGAACCUGCCAGGACUUGAAAUCUAUAGAAACAAAAGGCAGUUGUUUUUAUACAUUAAACACAAUAUCCAAGUCAAUAAUUGCUGGUUUAAAGUCUAGUGCCCCAAUCAGCUGUAUAUUUAAGGAUAUUCAUACAACAAAUUUAGGUGACAGUUUGGUGACCCAAAGAAAGGUUUUGUUACCACAUUCCAAAGGGGCCUUUUUCCAGAGGCUCUAUUGAGACCAAAGGGAGAGGCAGUUUUUGUGAUCUCACUGAGUGUAUUGCUGCGAUUUAUCUCCAAGCCCAGCCCCCACAACAUGAAUACUUCAAUACUGUUGUGAGGAGAGAACAAAGUAAAGACUGGAAGGGCUAUUUCUCUAAAUUUAAGACAUUAGUGCAGUGGCAGCUUGGCCUGAAUAGUUCUUUAACAGAUUAUGACCCCAAAGGAGGCAAGGCGAUUACCCACCUCUUUUCCAAGAAAACACUGUAAAGUGCAGCUAUCUCCUCUCUGGUGGGAGAGAGAAGUACCCAUGGAGCAUGGUGUUGGCUGGAAGAUGCACUGGUAGAAAAGACAGGAGAGAGUGGCAGUAGCAGACACCAGGAGUGGAUUUGUUACUAAGUAUAGGUGAGCCAUCUACUGGAGGAUCCCCAGAAAUAUUUGUAGGGUGGUGGGGAUUUUGUAGGAGCCUGAAACUUCUACAUUAGCAGUUGAGUCUAUGAAACAUGAAUUACAACUGCGUCUUAACACCAGACAUGUGUAUAAACUGGGAAGAUAGGUUAAUUCUGGUGCUUACAGUCAGUGAAGAUGAAUUAGCAUUCAGAGCGCUUGAGGUUCCUCUUGAUGUCUUUGACAAAAACUGCUUGGAUCAUACUUGAACUGAGACAUUAUAAUGCAGAGGUGUUUUUUUGGGGGAUUACUAAUUGUCUAUUAUAUUUUCAGCACUACCUGGAUGCUAUAGAGGAUGCAAGAGAAAUAUGACUAUUCCUGUCCUUAGGGUGUCAUGGUCUAGUGGGGGAGAUAACACAAGUACACAGGCAACUUAGAAACAAAGUAAAAGUGGGAGUUAGGAAGAUGCAGAUAUUUGGUUCAUUCUCAUAACUGUAAUUGCAGUUAGCCCAAGUUGGUGGACCUAAGCUGAAUAAUUUCCCUGGGCUAACCAGAAAUUUUAAAAACCACAGCAGAUAUACAGCUCUCAUUUAAUCCAUCUUCUAAAUUCCUUCUUUCUUUACUUGGAUUUUAUGCUUAACUGUUACUCUGCGUAAUCACUGUACAAGUUAAGACUUGCUGAGCUUAGUACUACUGUUGCUUACAUUGACUCAGCUUCGCAUUUACAUGGCCAGUGCUUCAACAUUUCUUUAUGAGUAUGCCAACUUCCUGAUUUCACUGCCUUCUGAAUCCUUUUGUUGGAUAAAUUAAAUUUAUAAACAAUAACUUUUAUAUUAUAUACCAUCGAAUCUAAGAAACCAUAGAUAGUAAAAUGUACCAUUAUUUUAUGUACCACUAAGAAAAAAACCUGUCACUAUACUUCCAUAUCACUUAGAAUUUUAAAUUGAUACUUAUUAAAGGAGAUCUCUAAGGCUUACUUAUACAGAGAAUUUUAUCAUAUAUCCUCCUUAUGCAUAAUAAAAAGAAACAUAUAAGCAAAAUAAAUUGCUUAAGAUAUUCCUAAAACUUCACAUUCAGAGUCUAACUCUUCCAAGUCACUUUUUAACCAAGAGUUGUUGGUGCUUUUCCACAUAAUACCUCCUCCGUGCAUCAGAAAUAUUGGUUAUGUAUCAUUACUUCUUUUAAAACUUUUUAUUGAAGAAAGAGUGCAUAUUACAUGAAUGUACAGCUGAACCAGUUAUCUCAAGGUAAACAUCCAUUAAACCACAACCCAGUCAAGAAAGACAACAUCAUGAAACAUCCAAGGAGCCCCCUUUGCUUCCUCUCAGGCACUAUCAUUGUUCCUCUACUGCCACUGCCAUUAGUAUGUCAUCACAGAUUAAUAUAUAGAAUAGAUUGCUUCUUUGUGGCAUUUAUAUAAAUGGAAUCAUUCAGUAUGCAUUCCUUUGUGUCUGACAUUUUUUGCUUAACAUUAGGUUAUGAGCUGUAUUCUUGUUGUAUGUAGCUUGGUUCAUUCAUUCUUAUUGCUAUAAAAGACUUUAUUAUACGAAUAUACAUAAUUUUAUUUCUCCAUUUUCCAGGUGAUAGAGAAUUGAGUUGUUUCCGUUUUAUUUUGUUACAGAUAAUUCCACAAUGAACAAUCUUUUGCACGUCUCUUUGUAGUGUAGUGUGUGUAUAUAUGCACACAUAUAUAGGUAUUAUUCAAGAGUGGAAAUCCUGUGUAUUUUCAGCUUUAGUAAAUAAUGCCAACAGUUUUGCAAAGUGGUUAAUAAUGCCAACAGUUUUCCAAAGGGGUUGUGUCGAUUUCCUGUUACAAGAGAGUAUCAAUUUAAUUAAACGAUCAGAAUUCCUUCAAGUGUGUUAUAUCAAACGUCAAUGUCCUGUGAAAACAAUCUUGUUAUUAUUGUUUGACUAUUUGGAUUUAAAUAGACAUCUAGGUACCUGUUAAAAGAAUGCUAAAAGUGUGAAAUAUGAGAAUGGCCAGUAACUAUUUUUAAUUGAUGACAUAUUCAGCUUGGGUUGAUGGGUAACUGAUCUACUGAUGUUCUUAUACUAAUAUAAAAAUAAUGAGUAGGAAUGGGUCAGGUGUACACACACACACAGGAUGGUAUACAAGAAAUAGCUUGAAGUUAAAGAGGAUGAAAAGGAUUAAAAGAAGCCUGAUCUCUGGCUUUUAGCCGUAGGAAGUAAAAUCCAAAGAUGGCAAAUUUGUUAAUUUUCCUCUUUAGAUGUAUUUUAUACACAUAGUGUUUUGCCUACUGAAUCAAAAUCUUAGGUCAUUUCACUUUUGUAUUGACUAACAUUGAAGCACAAUCUAAAGACAUCUCUGUGGCAAUAGUAACUACUCCCAAAGCAAUGUGUGUGCUGAGGAAUGGGGCUGUGGGAGCCUCAGAGGAGGAACUGGAACAAUAGAAAUAAUGUCUAGAGCUGUCAUUCUCUAAGGUGACCCUUCUGCAUGGUGGAAAAUAAUUUGCAAAAUGAUGGUUUAAGAGACGGCAGCAGUGCUUAUCAGUAUGUCUUUAUUUGACACUGAGGGGAGGAACUUGCUUUUGCCAACUGAGUAGUUGCCAGUGAUUUUUAUUUUAAGUGUAUUAUAUUUGCAGGUACUCUCUUUUCUUCCCCACCCUGCUCAUAAUUUUGAAAUGCUUUUGGUCCUUUGGGUGAGAUUAGUGAAGAAACAUUCACAAGAGAUCUGGGCAUUUGAAGGAGGAAGGCAGCUGAACCUGCAGGAUGAUCCAUUAACAACUGGAAAAAUAGCCACCAUCCAGGACAGAGAGGAUGUUACAGGAAUAAUAGGCAUCAGACGUUCCCUGUGGUUAAAGGUAUUUCCUGUGAGAAAAAAAAAAAAAAGAAGCCUAGUAGUUUUGGAAGGAUCCUCCCUAAAGGGGUGCAAAACUUUUCCUUGCAAGUUGGAAAUAGAAUGGGUAAAGCAAUUUGUUCAAGAAAUGGGUCUAAAUGCCCUUUCAUUUCUCUGUGCCUUAUUUUCCUCAAGCAAUCAGUAGUAUAAGCAGGUGGAAAGAGCAUGCAUGUCUUUUGUUAUUCACGAGAAUUUAAGGUGGUAUAAUGUCACACGGACUCCUUGAAAUUAGGGACCAUAUCCAAAGUUUUUUUUUUUUCUGUAUCUUUUACAAAUCCUGGCAUAUAGGAGGCAUUUAAUAAAUAAGUUCUGAAUAUACUAUUUUUAACUGACAUUUAUUCGUAACUUUCUCAUAAUUCUUUUCUAGGGUAUCAACGUACCCUAAUAUAGCUAGCCAAUUUCAUUGCCUUGUAUCUAUUAUUUUCUACACACUUUCCAAAGAAUCAAAUGCCUGAAUCAUUGCACUAGUAAAAGCUUUACCCCAAAGUCAUAAACAGUAAAAUUUUUAGCAACUGAGCUAUCAUUUUGUACUGGGGGAUAUAUGAACCUCACAUAUGGCAAGAUGGACUUUUCUUGGUCUUUUUAGUCCUGUGAGGUUUUUUCCUUUUUUUCUUUUCAAUCAGUAUCUAGAAAAAAAAUUACCUUGAAAUCUAGAUACUUUGAGUUCAUGUAAUAUUUUUAUUCCUAUUCAGUUCCAUCUUCCUUCUGCAUUAAUUAUAAUGCAAUGAAAACUAAAUCAAUAAGUUUAGUCUCCAGGCAAUUAAGAAAGUAUCAGUCA
rnacentral:lncRNA from 1 species